UUCCUUUUGGGAAAAGAUUCCCUUCCACAUUAGCUUGUUCUUUUACAGUAUGAUGUACUCCUACACCUGGCAGAUGUAUUUAUAGUUCUGAGUAGGGAGGGAGAAAUUCUUUUAUUGGUUGGUAAUUCCAUAUUUUAUUAUGAAAGAAGAAUUUUUCUUCCUGCCAUUUCCUUAUUAAAAUGAGAAUUAUUUGGGGGCAUUUCUGCAUUGU
rnacentral:lncRNA from 1 species